UACGUAGGGUGCGAGCGUUAAUCGGAAUUACUGGGCGUAAAGCGUGCGCAGGCGGUUCGCCAAGUCAGGUGUGAAAUCCCCGGGCUUAACCUGGGAAUUGCGCUUGAAACUAGCGGGCUUGAGUGCGGCAGAGGGGGGUGGAAUUCCACGGUGUAGCAGUGAAAUGCGUAGAGAUGUGGAGGAACACCGAUGGCGAAGGCAGCCCCCUGGGUCGACACUGACGCUCGAUGCACGAAAGCGUGGGGAGCAAACAGG
rnacentral:rRNA from 1 species